UCACGAUCUCUCAUCUCCAUCUCUCACACCUCUCGUCACCAUCUCUCACGAUCUCUCUUCUCCAUCUUUCACACAUCUCUUCACCAUCUCUCACGCCUCAGCUCUCUCAAAGGUGUGUGUUCUACUUGGUUCUCCGAGCUCUUGAUACUAUCUUUUCAUAUUUGGACAUAAAUCACAACUAGAUAGAAAAAAUGGCUAAUGAUAUGGUUAGGUGGUACUUGGAUGAUGAUGAUGAUGAUGAGGACGAAUAUGAGGACGAGUAUGAGGACGAUCUGCUUAAGCCAGAGAGAUUACUUCAAAGAACAGAUCGAGGUGCUGGAUGGCAUCAUGUUCAGCAGCUUAUGAAUGACCACUUUUCUUAUUGUUUAAAUCGAAAUCUUUGUAACAAUUGUGAGAGAGUUUAUGAUUUAGACCAAAAUGAUGGGAUUUUCUUAAUAAGGAAGCUCUUAUAAUAAGCUACAGUUUUUUUCU